GUGAGAGCGAUGCUCGAAAAGGCGCGCUCCAGGGCUAGGCUCCAGGGUGCGAAGGCUCGAGGCUGACGCUAGGGGGCAAGGAGAGGUGGCAGGGACAACAUCCGCGAGUGGGGACCCUCGGACCGCGGGAGUCUGGAGAAGUGCGGGCGCCGCGGACCUGUCACGGUAGAGACUGUCCAGCGCGGAGGGAGGCGGGCUGCGCCGAGCUUCUAGCUCCGCUGGCCCCGCUCGGGGCUCCGGGGAAAGGAGCAGCGGCGGCUCCGCCUCCUCGGCAUUGGGGGCGGCCUCCUCCUGCUCCCGCCCAGCAGAGACCACGAGUCCCAGGGCUCCCCUCCAAGGACAUCAGCAGCCGCCACGGCCCGGUGCUGACCCACUUUCCCUCCCGCCCGCCGAGCCCCAGGCAGAGAAUAAACAGGGCAACCGAGCAGGUGCGAGCCGCUGGGAGGGGCCGAAGCCCGGACUGCCCCGCCCCGCCUCUGCCGCGGGGAGAGAGGGCCAGCCCUGGAGGAGGUGUUGAAAUGCGUGAAGGGUGAAGCCCUUCUAGACCUAAGGGGUCCAGGGCUCAGGCUGCCACCACUGCAUCUUGUACUUGACCCCCAUCCCCUGCCUUCUGUCAGCCAGCCAUCUGGCAGGCCAAACUCCACACUUGACCUCCCCACCGCCACAUCUGAGGAGGAAGCAAAACCUUUCAGGAAAAAGGAAACCCCCAGACAAGGGGAAGAGGAUAACAGAUCUGCCGCUGGACAGAGGCUGCUGAGCUGAUGCUUCCCAGACAGCCUUGCUGUUGAGUGUGUUUUCAUGAUAGUAGUUACGAAGUUUUCAUGAAGUAGUUGGUGAGUAGUUCUCACCAAUGGAGGAAAGGAGACUUGAGGUGGAAGCCGCUUUAGUGCCUGGGCCCCUCUCCAUGCUGCCUAGAGUCUGGCUGUGGCAGCAGCCCUUCUGGGAGGGAGCAGUGCCCUCAUGGUCAGUGAGCAACAGGAGGGAAGGAGUCUGGAGCCCUGAGUGGCCAUCAGGAGCCCAGCUGCUCCUCAUCUCAGAAUGGUAAUCUAGAAAGAAACUGCAGUGUGUAAUUUUAUGUGUUUACUUUGCUGGGCAGCAGUGCCCAGAUAUCUGGUUAGGCAUGAUUCUAGAUGUUUCUGUGAAGGUAUUUUUUUAGAUGAGCUUAACAAUUAAGUUAGCAGACUUUUACAUUUAAAGUAAAGCAGAUUGCACAUCAUAAUGUGGGUGGGCCACACCCAAUCAGUUGAAAGUCUUAAGAGGAAAAAAAAGACAUCUCCUGAACAUGAAGGAAUUCCAACUGUAACUUCAACUCUUCCAGCUUUCUCUCUCUCUCCCUCUCUCCCUCUCUCUCUCUCACACACACACAGACACCUGUACCUUAAAGUUCUUUGUCUUCAUAUGACUUUCUAGGAAUUUUGCAUAUUAAGCACUUUAUCCUUUAGAUGAUUAUUUGCAUGACAGAUAAUUUUUUUGUUGUCAGUGUCUUAUCUCUUCAUUUUGUUUGGGGUGGCUUUCAUCCUAGAGAAUGUAGUAGUUACAACUCUUUUUUCAUUUUAUUUUUUUAUUUUAAUGGAAAUUAUUUUU